rnacentral:rRNA from 1 species
AUUGAACGCUGGCGGCAUGCCUUACACAUGCAAGUCGAACGGCAGCACGGGUGCCUGCACCUGGUGGCGAGUGGCGAACGGGUGAGUAAUACAUCGGAACAUGUCCUGUAGUGGGGGAUAGCCCGGCGAAAGCCGGAUUAAUACCGCAUACGAUCUACGGAUGAAAGCGGGGGACCUUCGGGCCUCGCGCUAUAGGGUUGGCCGAUGGCUGAUUAGCUAGUUGGUGGGGUAAAGGCCUACCAAGGCGACGAUCAGUAGCUGGUCUGAGAGGACGACCAGCCACACUGGGACUGAGACACGGCCCAGACUCCUACGGGAGGCAGCAGUGGGGAAUUUUGGACAAUGGGCGAAAGCCUGAUCCAGCAAUGCCGCGUGUGUGAAGAAGGCCUUCGGGUUGUAAAGCACUUUUGUCCGGAAAGAAAUCCUUGGCCCUAAUACGGUCGGGGGAUGACGGUACCGGAAGAAUAAGCACCGGCUAACUACGUG